UACGAAGGUGGCAAGCGUUGUUCGGAUUUACUGGGCGUAAAGGGAGCGUAGGUGGUCGGGUAAGCCCCGCGGGAAAGCUCCAGGCUUAACCUGGAAAGGUCGCGGGGACUGCGCGGCUAGAGGACGGGAGAGGAGCGCGGAAUUCCCGGUGUAGCGGUGAAAUGCGUAGAGAUCGGGAGGAAGGCCGGUGGCGAAGGCGGCGCUCUGGAACGGCCCUGACACUGAGGCUCGAAAGCGUGGGGAGCAAACAGG
rnacentral:rRNA from 1 species